AUGGAAGCCUCCAGAGCAAGUGGGUCAGGCUGUCAAGGUGGAACCCCAAGGCUGCAUGUGGCUGUGGAUACAGAAUUGAGUGGGCAUGAUCUGGAGAUACAGCAGGCCUCCCCACCCCAAGAUCUGUGUGAAGAACCUAAACGGAAAGAGUCAAGAUUUAGGAUGAACGAGAGGAGCUGGUGUCUUUCUGAAUUUUGUAUGAAGCACUUAUUCCUGUGUCAUUGCCAAGCAUUGGAGUCGGGGCUGUUUCAUUGUUGCUGCCCCACGGGCUACAUGGUUGCACUGGAAGAGUUGUGA
rnacentral:lncRNA from 1 species